UACGAAGGGGGCUAGCGUUGUUCGGAAUUACUGGGCGUAAAGCGUGCGCAGGCGGCUUCUCAAGUCAGGGGUGAAAGCCCAGAGCUUAACUCUGGAAUUGCCUUUGAGACUGAGAGGCUUGAGUACGGGAGAGGUGAGUGGAAUUCCCAGUGUAGAGGUGAAAUUCGUAGAUAUUGGGAAGAACACCGAUGGCGAAGGCGGCUCACUGGCCCGUAACUGACGCUGAUGCACGACAGCGUGGGGAGCAAACAGG
rnacentral:rRNA from 1 species